AGCCUCUGGCCCGCCCUCUCUUCUCGUAACCCAAACCACAUACUAAUUCAUGAAUUACAAACAAAGAGUCCCUUGUGGUUUGGGAGGGACCAGGCCGGCACUGCAAACGGGCGCUACAGCUGAACGGCUACGUGUCAAUUACAGGGAAACCUGGCUGACAGGGAGAGAAUCUCUUGUUGGGGCGAUCUCUAGCUGGUCUCUAGGCUGAGUCCUUGGCCCGGGCCUGGGGUGCGCAUCCGACCCACGGCACUUCGCUGCAUGUCAUCCUCCCCCCUCUCCUGUCAUUCUCCAGCUGCUCUAUAAUAAAAAAAAAGAUCAAGGCUGAAGCACAGGGGAGACCGCGCCUUUGCAGUAGAAGCCCACAAACUCUGGAAUGAGUUGCCUCUACAUAUUAGGCUGGCCCCUACACUGCCUGUUUUCAAAUCCCGUCUUAAAACAUAUUUUUAUUCCCAGGCUUUUAACCCAUUAGAAUAGUUGCCUUUCUAUAUUAUUGUCAUUUUGCUGUUAAACUGUCUUUUUGUUGUUUUUGUUUUCACUGUGUUAUUUCUAUAUAUUAGUUUUUUUCUGAUUGUACAGCACUUUGGUCUACUGUUGUUGUUUUUAAAUGUGCUUUAUAAAUACAUUUGGAUUGGAUAUGGAUAUAGAUUUCAUCACAUCACCCAGCCCUACAAAUAUUUUCAAACCAAUAAGACCAGAGAUGAAGCAAAAAAAGUGCUGAAAUGAUAAGUCAAUUAUUUAAUUAGUCAAAAAGCAGAAAAUGAAUGGGAGACUAUUUU